AUACAAUUAUAAGGGGACAUUUUAAGGACUUUAAUUAUAAGGAUUCCUAUUGUUUAAUAACAAAUAUGCCUUUUAAAUUUACUAAAUAAAACCCAGUAUGUAAAGCAAUUCACUCUGGUUUUGAAGGAGCAUUUGACAUCAGUGUAAGAGGUCCUCGAAGGCAGGGGUUUGCGGUGUCUAAGGGGAAGGCCCUGUGGACUGGGA
rnacentral:lncRNA from 1 species